rnacentral:rRNA from 1 species
AGGGAAUCUUCGGCAAUGGGGGCAACCCUGACCGAGCAACGCCGCGUGAGUGAAGAAGGUUUUCGGAUCGUAAAGCUCUGUUGUAAGAGAAGAACGAGUGUGAGAGUGGAAAGUUCACACUGUGACGGUAACUUACCAGAAAGGGACGGCUAACUACGUGCCAGCAGCCGCGGUAAUACGUAGGUCCCGAGCGUUAUCCGGAUUUAUUGGGCGUAAAGCGAGCGCAGGCGGUUAGAUAAGUCUGAAGUUAAAGGCUGUGGCUUAACCAUAGUACGCUUUGGAAACUGUUUAACUUGAGUGCAGAAGGGGAGAGUGGAAUUCCAUGUGUAGCGGUGAAACGCGUAGAUAUAUGGAGGAACACCGGUGGCGAAAGCGGCUCUCUGGUCUGUAACUGACGCUGAGGCUCGAAAGCGUGGGGAGCAAACAGGAUUAGAUACCCUGGUAGUCCACGCCGUAAACGAUGAGUGCUAGGUGUUGGGUCCUUUCCGGGACUCAGUGCCGCAGCUAACGCAUUAAGCACUCCGCCUGGGGAGUACGACCGCAAGGUUG